UCCCUGAUGGCUUAGUGGGUAAAGAUUCUGCCUGCAAUGCAGGAGAUGCAGGUUUGAUCCCUGGUUUGGGAA
rnacentral:tRNA from 1 species